GCAACGAGCGCAACCCUUGUUCACUGUUGCCAGCACGUUAUGGUGGGGACUCAGUGGAGACCGCCGGGGUCAACUCGGAGGAAGGUGGGGAUGACGUCAAGUCAUCAUGCCCCUUAUGUCCAGGGCUUCACGCAUGCUACAAUGGCUGGUACAGAGAGUGGCGAGCCGGCGACGGCUGGCCAAUCCCUAAAUCCCUUCUCAGUUCGGACUGGAGUCUGCAACCCGACUCCACGAAGCUGGAUUCGCUAGUAAUCGCGCAUCAGCCAUGGCGCGGUGAAUACGUUCCCGGGCCUUGUACACACCGCCCGUCAAGCCAUGAAAGCCGGGGGUGCCUGAAGUCCGUGACCGCAAGGGGCGGCCUAGGGUAAAACCGGUGAUUGGGGCUAAGUCGGAACAAGGUAGCCGUACCGGAAGGUGCGGCUGGAACACC
rnacentral:rRNA from 1 species